ACAGGUUUCAAAACCAUUAGUCAGCAUUCUGCCUGGCAGAUCUGCGCCUCGAGCUCCUGGUCCCAAGGCCAGGCACCCAGGGCCCUCAGCUCUGCUCCACAGGCCCUGGGGCCCGGCAGGGGCACAGCGUUGGAAGCCGGCUGAGCUGCAGGCUGGCGUGCUGGGGCCCGCCAGGCCUGAGGUGGCCUCAUCCGGCAGAGAUGUGUCCAGCAGGCCCAGCACCAAGAGCCAGCAAGGAAAUCUCCGGCAGCCCCUCCCCCUCCCCUUCUGACGCAGGGAGGCUCGGGCCAAUGCCGAGCCACUGGAACAGUGUCAACAAACAAGCCACUGGCCAGACAGGUGGGCCCGCCUGGGAUGCCAAUCUCAGCCCAGGCCACUGGGUCAGACAGAGAAGGGGGUCCCCAGCGGGUAGAGGCGCCCAAGCAGUCAGCACAACACCAAUGAGGUCCCUGCCCUCCCCAGCCAGGCAGCCAGGCAAGCUGGGGAAGGUCCAACACCCAGGGAAGCUAGACCAGACCCGUGCAGAAGUCUCCAGGCCCCGAUGGGCUCAGAGCUUCACGCUGGGGUGCCUGGCUCCUUCCACCCAGUUAUAUCCAUCUGGGACCAUCAAGGGCCUCCACCGUUCAGAGGCUGGGAUGGGUCAGACAGGGUGACACCGCCCCUCCCCCACACCGGUCGCCAGCCAGAGGCCUCACCUGGAAGUCAUACAGUGCCACAAUGUUCUCGUGCUUCAGCUCCUGGGACAGAAACCCAAGUUUCUCACAAUCCAGCGUCUGGGACUUGGCCAGGUUCUUCUUGUUAAUGCACUUGACCGCGACCUCCAGGUCAUGCUUCUGGAAAACCAAGCGUGGCUUUUCAAGGCUGAGGACCCCCCUCCCCUGGCUCUGGGCCUCGGACUGGAACCAAGCUCCAGAGCCCAGGCACCCAGGACCCAGGACCCAGAGACACAGGGACACAACACAGGGGCCAAGACCUGAGGACGGGAGACGGGGGACAGGAGACUCGGACACCCGAGGCUCGAGGACCCCUGGAAUGGAGACCUUGACUCCACUGGCCCACUCAUCCGUGGCAUCAGCCUGGCUGGCGCUCCACAGAGUGUGGGUGCAGCACUGGGUUUGAGUCUCGGCUCCAGAAUCUGAGCCCAGGGAGGCCGAGGGCCCAGUGUCCUUGCAAAGCUCGCCACCCCAUGGGAAUCGGGCACUAUCAGUGGCCAGCCCAGCCCCCAGGCCUCGGGGUCCCUGCUGUGCCCAGGCGGAGUCCGAGGGCCACCCCCGGGCUGGGUGAGAGCCUGAACUUGCACCACCUGAACAACAGGACACAGCCCCCUGGGGACAGGGCGCUGGCGGCCUUGAGUGGGCAGCCAGAGCCUGAGCUCCACCACCCCAAAGCAGAACAUAAAGCAAAGUGAAUGUACCUUAGUGUGGCCGGGGUGGCGGUGCACACCGUUACCCCAGCACUCUGGGAGGCCGAGGCAGGAGGGUUGUAAAUUCAAGCCCAGCCUGGGAAAAUGUGCUUGACUGUCUCAAAAUUUAAAAAGGGCUGGUGACAGAGUUCUGGGCAAAGGCCCUGGGUCCCAUCCCAGGGCUGAAAACAAGUCGUCAGGGCCCCCAAGGCCGUUCGUGGCGGGGCGCACAGAGCCAUGUGGGGGGCACAGGCCCUCGCUCCUCCCAGACAGCGGUGGCCCCGCAUCUGGGGAGUGAGAUAAAAUAGGCCAAAAGGAGCCAAGGAAAUGAGAACUUACGGAUUUAUUUAGGUUUUUUAAAACAGGUUCUCAGCUGUGGGUUUAGCUCAGCGGCGUAAGCACCUGCUUGGCAAACACGAGGUUAUGAGUUCCAUCUCUGGUACCCCAAAAACAAAUAAAUCAGUCAAUCAAAAAACAUGGUCUUGGGCCAGGGAUGAGCACCUGUCUGGUAAGCACAAAGUCCUGAGUUCAAUUCUGAGUACCAAAGAAAUAAAGCAGACUCUCACUAUGUAGCCCACGCUGGCAUUGAACUCUAGAUGAUUUUCCUGCCUCAGCCUCCUGGGUUCUGGGAUUACAGGCUUGUGCCACCAUUUGUGGCCUGUAGUCAUGUCCAAGCCCCAUUACUGUGUCCAGCUGGAUCGCCAGGUGCGUCUCCCUCCAGGGCCAUGCUGUUCCUCUGAGUGGCCACUUACCUACCAAGCCAUCCUCACUGACCGCCAGGAGCCAGCAAAGCCCAGCUGCUUCCCAGGCGGGGAGCAGGGCCUCGCAGGAGCCGUGGGUGGUGUGAGGACGGAGGCCUCUGUCCUGCACUGAGCCCUGCCCGGCUCGGGCUGGGGCUCCUCAUGGAGGGGCUCGUACUCCUGUCUGGUCCCGCGCUGGGACUCAGCCCGUGAGUGACCUUCAAGAGAUAAGGCAACUGCCACUGGCACGUGAGGGAGAGUCCUGCCAGGGCCUGGGUAUUGGCUGCGCAGUUCAGGCGGCCUUGAGCUCACUUUGAAGCCCAGGUUGGCCUCAAACUCUCAGUGAUCCUCCUGCCUCAGCCUCUGAGUGCUGGGAGCACAGGCGUGUGCCACCUCUUGGGUCCUUUAAUCCUUCCGAGGACUCCUGACGUCCUCCCCUUGUGCCAGCCCCGCCUCACACAGGGAGAGCCCUGCGUGACCCAGGACCCUCCCCGGGCACGCGCCGUGCCCGCCCUGCACCCCAGCCUGCUUUCUGCUUUCUCUGGUCCCCGCCUGUCCUUGAACCCCAGCUGCUCUCCCAUGGCAUCUCGAUGAAGCCCUGGCUGUUCCAGAGCCGGACAGCUGGAAUCCUCUCUUCCACUCAAGGGCUGAGGAGGGAGGACUGCAAGCCCAAGGCUGGCCUACCCAAAAAAGAAAGAAAGAAAAAUAAAUUUCCUCUAAAUCUU